AAGAGUUUGAUCAUGGCUCAGAUUGAACGCUGGCGGCAGGCCUAACACAUGCAAGUCGAACGGUAACAGGAAGCAGCUUGCUGCUUUGCUGACGAGUGGCGGACGGGUGAGUAAUGUCUGGGAAACUGCCUGAUGGAGGGGGAUAACUACUGGAAACGGUGGCUAAUACCGCAUAACGUCGCAAGACCAAAGAGGGGGACCUUCGGGCCUCUUGCCAUCAGAUGUGCCCAGAUGGGAUUAGCUUGUUGGUGAGGUAACGGCUCACCAAGGCGACGAUCCCUAGCUGGUCUGAGAGGAUGACCAGCCACACUGGAACUGAGACACGGUCCAGACUCCUACGGGAGGCAGCAGUGGGGAAUAUUGCACAAUGGGCGCAAGCCUGAUGCAGCCAUGCCGCGUGUAUGAAGAAGGCCUUCGGGUUGUAAAGUACUUUCAGCGGGGAG
rnacentral:rRNA from 1 species